rnacentral:rRNA from 1 species
GAUGAACGCUGGCGGCGUGCCUAAUACAUGCAAGUCGAGCGAACGGACGAGAAGCUUGCUUCUCUGAUGUUAGCGGCGGACGGGUGAGUAACACGUGGAUAACCUACCUAUAAGACUGGGAUAACUUCGGGAAACCGUAGCUAAUACCGGAUAAUAUUUUGAACCGCAUGGUUCAAAAGUGAAAGACGGUCUUGCUGUCACUUAUAGAUGGAUCCGCGCUGCAUUAGCUAGUUGGUAAGGUAACGGCUUACCAAGGCAACGAUGCAUAGCCGACCUGAGAGGGUGAUCGACCACACUGGAACUGAGACACGGUCCAGACUCCUACGGGAGGCAGCAGUAGGGAAUCUUCCGCAAUGGGCGCAAGCCUGACGGAGCAACGCCGCGUGAGUGAUGAAGGUCUUCGGAUCGUAAAACUCUGUUAUUAGGGAAGAACAUAUGUGUAAGUAACUGUGCACAUCUUGACGGUACCUAAUCAGAAAGCCACGGCUAACUACGUG